rnacentral:misc_RNA from 1 species
GCUAAGAAGAUAGGUAUAGAUCAAUUUAGUAGUGAUGAUGUUGAUGAAGCCAACGAGAAGAUCUAGAAAGACGAAUAAAUUUAUGGUGUAGGCCUAGAUUUAUUUUGGGACCUUAUAAAGUUUUUCCCUAGUAAUUUAGUUUUAUAUUUAUUUAUUUUUACUUUUUUCAAGUUAAUUAACUAUGGGUCAAAUAUUUAUCUUUGGUGUUAGGUUGAAGCUAA